UACGGAGGAUGCGAGCGUUAUCCGGAUUUAUUGGGUUUAAAGGGUGCGUAGGCGGGUUAUCAAGUCAGCGGUAAAAUCGUGGAGCUCAACUCCAUCCAGCCGUUGAAACUGAUGAUCUUGAGUGGGCGAGAAGUAUGCGGAAUGCGUCGUGUAGCGGUGAAAUGCAUAGAUAUCACGCAGAACUCCGAUUGCGAAGGCAGCAUACCGGCGCCCGACUGACGCUGAAGCACGAAAGCGUGAGUAUCGAACAGG
rnacentral:rRNA from 1 species